rnacentral:lncRNA from 1 species
GGUUCUGCAGCCGCAAGGAGAAGAUCCCACAGAAGGAAACGAACAAGCAGUCAGUCACGGAAGGGUAGCGAUUCCAUACCAGCAGAGGGAAGGAGACGAGGUCAGAACGGCGGAUCUCCGCCGCUCGCCGACACGGAGGGAGGACGCCAGAGGGUGCCUGCCUGAGACGAGGUGGAAAGCUCCCUCCCCGCCGCUCGCCGGCACGGAGGGACGAGGACGCCGGUGGGCGUUGGCGUGAGAUGCGAGAGAGGUGGGGGAGCGGUGGCCGGAUCGGGGAGAUCAACGCGGAGGAGGGGGUGCGGCGUGCGGGCCGAGAGCCUGCGUACAAAGGAUGAGGACGGCGGGCUCGAUCGGCCGACUACUCAACUGGGUUGGGCUGAGCCGGAUGUACCAUGGGCCAGGGCCAGGGAUGGAUUGGAAUUUGGAAAUAUCCUCACCGUACAAAUACAAGCACAUUUUCUAAAUAUAAAAACUACAAGCCUCACAAAACUUAUACUUGAUCAAUCAAUUUUAGAAGCACCAUGUGUCAUCGUAAAAUGAAAUAUAAGAAUCGCAAAGAUAAACAACUAUAAUACCGGAUAGUAGACACGAACACUAAUACUCUCUUUGUCUCUAAAAGAAUAGAUUCCUACCGUUCUCUUAAGUCAAUAAUUUUAAACUUUGACUAAAUUUUUAGAAAAUUAAAGUUAAGAUUUAUAUAUCAAAUUAGUAUUAUUAGAUUUAUCAUAGAAUAUUUUUUAUAAGGUACUCAUUUUAUGACAUAGAUGAUGUUAUUCUUUUUAUUAAAGUUAGUCAAACUCUAAAAAAAUGACUGACAUGAAUUAUAGAAAUUGAUUUAUUUGGAGACAGAGGGAGUAUAUUGCGUUCUUCCUAAAAAUAAUAUAAUACGGUGAUAGGCACAAUGUUUGUAACUUCAUACUAACAAUAGUACAUUGCCUUUCAAAAUGGGUGGAAAACGCUAUGUUCCUACAGUAUCUACACACCCUAAAAUUAAAAGCACAACAACACAGAAAAAUGGCUUAUCCUAGGAGCUCUCAAUUUAUAGAGAUAGGGGGAAAAUGACCUCAACCUUAGCACUUGAGCCUUUUGGGUUGGGAUCAUCAAAUUUCCAAUUCUCCCUAUCUCUCGACAUAGUGAUAUGUAUUCCUCCUUAAUCAUUGAUCUCAUCCUUUAUCUUGCUUUGUAUACAAUCUCUCCUUUGUCAUCUGCUAAACAAAAAGGCAUAUACAGAUAGAGUUGUUUGCAACAAAGAUAUUCAUUGUGAGGAGUAUAUUACCACUGAUUCACAUAUGAGACAUGAUAUAUGAUGUUUUGAAUCGAGUUCAAACUCCCCCUUUGUCAUCCAUUUCCAUGAUUUUAUCAUGAUGUUGAUGGAUUGUAUUUUUUGUGUUCAUAUGUAGAUGUAUGGUGUCCCCAUGGAGUGUCCAUGUUAUUGCCUAGUGAUGGCUGAUGAUGUGAUAUGGGAUGUCACCUGAUGAGGCUCUAUCCUGAUCUAGGAUCCUUGUAGCACACGGCAAGUCAACAUGUCUCUGAGUCUUAGACUAGUUUAAAUUGGUAUUAGGUGACAUUGCUAUGGUUUUUGCUAUGUGGUGGCAUGGCCUGCAUGUCAUCUCAUUCGUAUGAUAUCCUUGUGUUCAUCUUUCGUCCAAUAGGAGCAUAUCUAAUAUUGAUGCCUAGGUAUUUUUUAGAACAACUUCAACAAAACAAUAUGUAUAUAUUAGAUACUCCCUCCAUAUACAAAAAGAAGGUCGUUUAGAACAUGAUUUAGCAUACCAAGGAGUGAUUAAUUAUGGUGAAGUUUUUUCUGUUUGCCCCUAAUAAAUACAGAUUCACGUGCAUCCUUUUCGAAAAAGUUUCACAGACCAACUGGCUAGCACCUUGAGGUGGGAAGCUGGCGAGCAACGUUCGACUCCCCUGGACACUUUUCGCUGUGGAGCCUGAGCGCGUAUAUUUACGUUGUUGGCGCCUUUUUUCGGCUGUAGGAGGUUCUGGCGCUUUUUUUUCUUUUUUUUCGGCUGGCGGUGCAGAAGUUUGGGCUACCAAAGGAGUAUUUAUGCGCUUGCAUACUGCUCCCGUCCGUGCAUUUGCUUCUUGCAUGCUGACCUUGCUGCUUUUCUUCUAAUCCUUCCACUCCGCUAAACACAAUGGCAACGGCGGCGUUUGAUCUCAACGAAGAACCUCCGUUGGAGCAUGACAACGGUAUUGCUAUCUGUUCUUUUCUUGUCCAUUUAUUUGCUAUACGGUGCUAUCUCUUUCUCUCAAUCGUUUCUCAUAUCAGAAGGACUAUUGUCACAGGAUUUGAUUUAAACCUGCCGUUAGAUGAAUUUGGUGCAGUCGACUUUGAUUAUCUACAAAACCAUGCUGGUAUGUAGCCGUUAUUUAUUCCAUGUCUGUUUGUUUAUCCAUGAUAUUUCUUCUAUAUUAUUUAAUUUUUUCCAUGUAUUUUGCUAUAUAUAGAACAUGCCUUGAGUAAUAGAAGAUUUAUGUUUGUUUUUUUUUCACUAUAAAUAGAUCCUGCUCCCGUGCAACCAAACCAACGAAGGAAAGACAUGUCCGAAGAAGUCAGAAAGCAAGUUUAUCAAACUUUGUUGUUAAGAAGCAAGAAUGGGAAGCUAGGCAAGUCAGAUACAAAAGUUGUGGCUGCUCAGUUUGGUGUACAUCUUCGUCAAGUUCAGCGCCUGUGGAAGCAAGGUAAAACAGCACUUGCAAAUAACAUUCCGGUUGAUGUUGGUAGUCGUAAGAAGGGAACAGUUGGCCGUAAGCCAUCUAUGUCUACUGCUGAUUUGGAAGUUUUGCGUAGCAUUCCUUACAAAGAAAGAAUGACCAUUGAAGAUGUGUGUGCUAAACUUAACAUGAGCAAAUGGGCUAUUCAAAGGUAUUUGAAAAAAGGAUUUCUUAGGCGCCACUCUAGUAGCAUCAAACCGUAUCUCACGCAAGCUAACAAGAAGGCUAGAUUAAAGUGGUGUGUUGAAAUGGUGAAGAGGGAUUUGCUAGCCGACCCAAGGUUCAAAGAUUUGUAUGGCUUUGUGUUCAUUGAUGAAAAGUGGUUCUAUCUCUAUCAAAAAUCUGAAAAAUAUUAUUUACUACCCGAUGAAGAUGAGCCCCAUCGGACUUGUAAGAACAAGAACUACAUCCCUAGGCUUAUGUUCUUGUGUGUUGUUGCUCGGCCAAGGUUUAGGAAUGGGAAUUGUACAUUUGAUGGUAGGAUUGGUUGUUUUCCACUUGUUCGGUAUGAACCGACUAUGAGAGGUAAUGGGUGAACCGGACGUGUCCGUGGAGACUUGGUUAUGAAGCCCAUAACUUCGAUCACAAGAGAUGUGAUUAGAGAUUUCAUGAUCAACAAAGUGUUACCUGCCAUCCGAGCCAAAUGGCCAAGAGAAGAUGUGAGCAAACCAAUCUUCAUUCAACAAGAUAAUGCACCUACGCAUUUGAAAUUGGAUGACCCGGAUUUUUGUGAGGCCGCUAAGCAAGAAGGAUUUGAUAUUCGCCUAAUUUGUCAACCACCAAAUUCUCCAGAUUUCAACAUCUUGACUUGGGUUUUUUUCGAGCUAUUCAAGCAAUUCAAUACAAGAAGAAUGAAAAAUCAAUAGAAGCUCUAGUCCCAACGGUACAACAGGUAAUUUGAUCAAAUCGUUCACACAUGUUUCAUUGUCUCAUCAACUACAAAAGUGCUCGUUCAUUCAUUUGUUCCACAUUUGUUUUGUAGGCAUUCAUAGAGUACUCGGCACACAAAACUAAUCGAAUAUUUGUAACACUGCAAAGUGUUUACAUUGAAGCUAUGAAGGUGAAAGGAUGCAACAAGUUCAAAAUUCCUCACUGAAAGCCCUAGUUUGGUUUUGGAUAAUUGAUGAAACCCUAGUACUAACCUCUAUGCUAAGUGUGUGUAGACUUAAUGAGGUUGGUACAUGCCAAGUGAUGGAGCAAGUGAUGAUCAUGGUGAUGAUGGUGAUGACCACAAGAUGAUCAAGUGCUCAACUUUGAAAAGAAGAAAGAGAAAAACAAAACCCUAUGGAGAUCAAGGCAAAGGUAUUACUUAGGGUUUUGGCUUUGGUGAUCAAGACACCAUAGAGGGUGUGAUCACAUUUAGGAUAGAUAGUCGUACUAUAAAGAGGGGAAUUCUUUGGCUAAGCGGUUAUCAAGUGCCACUAGGUGUCAUUGUUCAUGUGCAUGCAUUUAGAACCUAGUGAGCUAACUUAACUCCUUCAAAGAAAAUGAUUGUGAAAAUGCUAACACACGUGCACUUGUUGGUACACACGUUGUGGUGUUGGCACACUUUGAGAAGGAGGUGGAGUUUGAAGGGUAAAGAGAGGAUUCGGCGCUUUUCGAGAAAAUGAAGUGCAUAUUUUCUAUUGCGCCGGUGGGAAAAUUGGAGGAGUCGCGGGAGUGUUUCUCGCUAAGAAACACUCACCGGACGCUGGCUUCUGGAGCACCGGACGCUGCGUCUGAGCGUCCGGUGCAGACAGUGCCUGGCCCAGCUAGGGUAAGGCACCGGACGACAGGCACCGGACGCAGGCCUGUGCGUCCGGUGGUUAGCGUCCGGUGUGCGGGCGUUUUGCGACCCUCUCUGCGCAUGGGUCCGGUGAGCACCGGACGCUACCGGUGCUUAGCGUCCGGUGACCCGCAGGUUUGCGGAUCUCUCUGCGCAUGAGUCCGGUGUGCAUUGCUCAGCGUCCGGUGCACUGCAGAUGACCGUUAGAUUCUGACACGAGAGUUUCAAAAGGCGACACGUGGCUGACGUUGGAGCACCGGACGCAGGUGUUGAGCAUCCGGUGCCCCUUUAAGAGCGUCCGGUGACCCCGAGUUUUGCCCAGUAAAAGAGCCAACGGCUCUAUUUGUUUGAGGAGCUAUAUAUACAUGUUUGGCCAGCUUAGGGCUCACUCUCUUGGCAUUCUAACAUACUUGACAUCCUUGUGAGCCUAAGCAAACACCUCUCACUCAUCUCCUUCAUAGAUUAUACAUCUUUGUGAGAUUGGGAGUGAUUCCAAGUGCAUUUGCUUGAGUGAUUGCAUCUAGUGGCACUUGGGGAUCGAUUUGGCUACGGUUUUCUUGUUACUCUUGGUGGUUGCCGCCACCUAGACGGCUUGGAGCAGCGGAGGAGCUUUGGCACGAGUUGGUGAUUGUUCGUGGCCAUCUUCCGGUGAUUGUGAGAGGUCUUGUACCUUCCCCGGCGGAGAGCCAAAAGGUAACUCUAGUAAAGUGCUCGUGUCAUUGAGCUACCUCACUUGUGGGUAGGUUCUUGUGGUGUCCUAGUGUGGACGAGGUUUGUGCUACACCUCUUAGCCACCGAACCACCAAGUGUUGGUCGACACAACGGGGACGUAGCGUGCCGGCAAGCACGUGAACCUCGGGAGAAAAAUUGUGUGUCUCCAUUGUGAUUGUUCAUUGGAUUUCUCCCGGUGAUUGGACUUCAUAUUAUUGAUUGGUUCAUCCCCUCUACGCGGCGGUAUAAAGUUUAAACCUUCUCUUUUACAUUCCCGCAAACUAGAGUAGCUUACUUACUUGUAUAGAAACUUUAGGUAGCUUUCUAGUGUAAGUAGUAACAUAGCUCUUGUGUGCCUAGUGAUUAUAUCAACUAGAAUUGUUGGAUAGGUGGCUUGCAAACACCCCAUUAGAGCUAGAGCAAAAAGCUUCGCUUUGUUAUUUACUAACCUCUUGCUCUAGUGUUUUUGUAGAAUUUUUAAGUAGGCUAUUCACCCCCCCCUCUAGCCAUAUUAGGACCUUUCACUCACAUGGGUAAAAAUACACUAGAAAGAGAAGACCGACUGCCAGAUUCUCUCCCUUGUGAACCAUCUUCGCUUCAUGAAGCCAAAGCUACUCUUGCUGCACCAAAUAAUUAGAGUAAUGCUAGUUAGCUUAAUUAGUAGAGAUAUCCUUGUAAAAGUUAAUGAGAACUCAAGCUUUUUAUCUUACUGUUGGUUUGGCGUCGUCCUCUUUCGCGAUGGCUGCGGCUUUGGCGUCGUCCUCCUUCACGGCUGCUGCAGCUUUGGCGUCGGCCUUCGCAGUUGCUAGCUCGUUGAGCAUGUUGAUCACGUGUUCAGGUAACACGAUAGAAUUUCCACGCACCACGAGAUUGUUCAGAUCGGGAAUGAAAAGCUCGCAGUCGAACUCGUCUUGGUCGUACAGCCAGGCACCGAUUCUAUACUCUCUGUGGACGAGACCGCAGCGAGAACAUGGCCAAAACAGCGAGUGCGCACGAUCCCAUGAUUCGCGGUUCUCAUGAACGCGAUGACAGCGAGGGCAUAGAAAAGCUCCCGGCGGCAAGGUUUCCGGCACCAUCUCAGAGUCCGUCGCGACGAAGUCCGGCACCAUCUCCGAGUCCAGCACGAUGGAGUCCGGCACCUCUUGCGAUGUGAUGGAGUCUGGCACAGACUCGAACAGUGAAUCUGGGGCGAUCUCCCUGGCCGGCGAGCGGCGCGGCGAGCAUGAGCACGAGCGGCUCGAGCGAGAUGAAGCCAUGCACGCGACGGACCGGCGAGCGCGAGUGGCGGCGCGGCGAGCACGCCGGCGAGCACGCUAGGUUGGAGCCUGGCGAGUUAGCGGCGAGUACUAUCGAUCGAGAGCGAGGACUGUCGAGUGGAGCUGUGAUGCGAGCAGCGCUUCGAGUCCUUUUAACAAAGCGAACAGGCAACGACUGGGCAAGUGGGCGGCGUAGAUGACAAUCGAGGCGAGUAAUUAACUGGCAUGCGAUAAUCGAAGAGGCCGGGGCAAAGAAGUCCAAAUCACCAGCUAUGGCUCCACGACGUCGUUUUUUCCGCAAACUGCCGAAGUGGCUAGUAAGUAUACAUUAUAUGUUAGGUGUGCUUUGUUUUAUUCAUUUUUUGUCAUUCACUUAUCAAAACCCAUAGCACACCACACUCCAUCAGGCCUCAUGCAUUUAAGUUGUCAUUCACCCAUCGCCUAAUAGAAACUCAAGGCUUCAUGUACAUCCAUAGCUCCUCCUUCGCCCUUGGUCCUCUCCUCUUUCGAAUCUCAAUUCCCAACAAGGGCAUAGCCACAUAAAACUUAGACGCCACCACACCAGAUGGCAGGCAUGCAACCGAUAGUCAAAAAAAUCAUGGCUCAAGAGGAUUUGUCAUGUCCUACACAAGGGUGCCCAUGCGCUAGGUGAGGCUGGGCCGCUAGGGUGCACCAACCACAAUGCAUCUCAUUGCUCGAUUCUACUCGGUGCCUCACCUGUCCCAUUAGACAUCAUGUUUGACGUUCGAGCACCACUUUGCCCGUGAAGACAUAACCUAUUAUAUGACUCACCUGUCAUGACUCAACAUAACCUGUCAUAGGACUCUAUGAGGUCAGAACGGCGGAUCUCCGCCGCUCGCCGACACGGAGGGAGGACGCCAGAGGGUGCCUUCCUGAGACGAGGUGGAAAGCUCCCUCCCCGCCGCUCGCCGGCACGAAGGGACGAGGACGCCGGUGGGCGUUGGCGUGAGAUGCGAGAGAGGUGGGGGAGCGGUGGCCGGAUCGGGGAGAUCAACGCGGGGGAGGGGGUGCGGCGUGCGGGCCGAGAGCGGAGAGCCUACGUACAAAGGAUGAGGACGGCGGGCUCGAUCGGCCGACUACUCAACUGGGUUGGGC